AUGGGUGGGAAAAGGGAAGUUGCAGUAUGCAGAGUUGGCCAGCAGGUGGGGCGCUGGGACUCCUUCCCCGGAAGAGCUUCGGCGUGGCAGGGCCCGGAUGGAGGGACUGCACCCACCACCCUCCCCUCCCUGCUCGGCCCUUCUGCCUUCCCUGCUCUUCUUAUUUAUCCUGCUCUGCAGCCUCGUCUCAGGAGAAGCCGGGAAGGAAAGCAAAGGGAUUUUUCCAGGACCGGAAAAAGUCAAGAGCUGGAAUGUGUCCCCCAAAAGGUCUCGCGGAACCUGGUUUGGACAAAACGGCACCGACAAAGAGCCUCGAAUUGGCCAAAAUGGCUUUCAGGUGGAUUCAGACAUUUAGCCGGGCAGCCGGAGACAACAACUCCGCCUCCCUCCGUAUCGAAGCCCGAGACCCCCGUCUCGACCCCUGUUUCGACCCCGGAGGUCAGGGCGGGAUGCCGGUGCCCGGAGGAGGCAGAGGUGGCCAAAGCGCAGCAGGGGAAGGCAGAGGAGGCCCGUCGGAGGGGUGUCCGCCUCCCGACGCCUCGGACGGAGGAGGCCGCCUGGGCCGCCAGCGCCUUGACCUUCCUGCUGGUGGUGCUGACCGUGGCCAUCCUCUACACCCGGCUCCACCGCAAAUGUCGCCGCGGGCGUAGUCUCUACUGGAUGGUCAGCGGCGAGGAGGACCGCGAGACCGUGGCCGCGGUGAUCAAGCGGCGGCUCCUGUCCUCGCAGAUUCGGCGCAAGAAGCGUCCGCGGAAAAAGCAACAGGAACUUCUGGUCUCCACAUCCAGCGACAGUUCGGACUGA
rnacentral:lncRNA from 1 species